UCUCUUUGGGUCCUCUUCAGAUCGAAUUAUGCUUUUGAUUUUUGCUAGAGUUUUCGUGAAGUGGAACUUCCUUGAGCUUCAGUAAAUCUUUGAGGCUCUGCCCAAGCAGGGC